rnacentral:rRNA from 1 species
UACAGAGGGUGCGAGCGUUAAUCGGAAUUACUGGGCGUAAAGCGUGCGUAGACGGUAGCGUAAGUCGGGUGUGAAAGCCCCGGGCUCAACCUGGGAAUUGCAUUCGAGACUGCUCUGCUAGGGUGCGGAAGAGGGGAGCGGAAUUUCCGGUGUAGCGGUGAAAUGCGUAGAUAUCGGAAGGAACACCAGUGGCGAAAGCGGCUCCCUGGUCCAGCACCGACGUCAGGCACGAAAGCGUGGGGAGCAAACAGG